ensembl:lncRNA NRG1-IT3 NRG1 intronic transcript 3
CUAGACAGAGGAUGAAAUGCAGUAGUUCACCAACAUGUUAUGUUUCUAUGAACAACCAGAUGCAAACGUCCUGGCAUUCAUCCUGCCUGCUUGCUGUUUGUACCAUCUCCGUGGUAGCAACCAUCCAAGCUGCUGGAAGCACAGACUGAGCUCUAUGAGUCAAUUAUUUUAUAUACCUGGGAACGUGCUAGCCUUCCUGUCACUCUUUGAUGUCACUAUGUAGACAGUUUGCAGCCUAGGCAACAUGGGAAAAAGUGAAACACUUCACUCAGGGCGCAGAACAAUGGAAGUCCCUGGAAGGAAAGGCUUGCAAGAGAAAACCAAGUGGCUUCUGAGAUAUUCGAAAGUCCAGUUGUUUUCCCUUUUUAAAAAUUUUCAGAUGCUCUUUGAUGCCAUUUCAUAAAGCCUGUGAUUGGGCCAAAAGUCUUAGUUCACCAUGUACCACAAAUAGUGUACUCUAUAUAGCAUAUGCUUAACUAAGAAAAAAUAAAGAUUUAGAAAUAGA